rnacentral:lncRNA from 1 species
ACAUUUUCAAUUAACGGGUCGUCCCCAUACUUCGUCCGGUAUGAACGUCAAAUUACAAAACUUCGACACUCCGUCCAGUAUGAGGGUGAAAGGGGUCGUCCCCAUAUCCCGUCCGGUAUGAGCACCAAAUUACCCAACCUUGAUACCCCGUUCGGUAUGAGGCAAUGUUCACGGUAGGGUUCCCUAUGUAACCGGUCCGUCCACCAUCUCUCAGGAUAUCCAGUAAGGCUGC